CCUACGGGGGACAGCAGUGAGGAAUAUUGGUCCAUGGGCGCGAGCCUGAACCAGCCAAGUCGCGUGAGGGAAGACGGUCCUAUGGAUUGUAAACCUCUUUUGUCGGGGAGCAAAAGACGCCACGCGUGGCGUUCCGAGAGUACCCGAAGAAAAAGCAUCGGCUAACUCCGUGCCAGCAGCCGCGGUAAUACGGAGGAUGCGAGCGUUAUCCGGUUUUAUUGGGGUAAAAGGGUGCGCAGGCGGAAGAUCAAGUCAGCGGGAAAAUUGAGAGGCUCAACCUCUUCGAGCCGUUGAAACUGGUUUUCUUGAGUGAGCGAGAAGUAUGCGGAAUGCGUGGUGUAGCGGUGAAAUGCAUAGAUAUCACGAAGAACUCCGAUUGCGAAGGCAGCAUACCGGCGCUCAACUGACGCUCAUGCACGAAAGUGUGGGUAUCGAACAGGAUUAGAUACCCGGGUAGUC
rnacentral:rRNA from 1 species